CCUACGGGAGGCAGCAGUGAGGAAUAUUGGACAAUGGGCGAGAGCCUGAUCCAGCCAUGCCGCGUGCAGGAAGACGGCCCUAUGGGUUGUAAACUGCUUUUAUACAGGAAGAAACACCCUCACGUGUGAGAGUUUGACGGUACUGUAAGAAUAAGGACCGGCUAACUCCGUGCCAGCAGCCGCGGUAAUACGGAGGGUCCGAGCGUUAUCCGGAAUCAUUGGGUUUAAAGGGUCCGUAGGCGGGUUUAUAAGUCAGUGGUGAAAGUUUGCAGCUUAACUGUAAAAUUGCCAUUGAUACUGUAGAUCUUGAAUUAGUGUGAAGUGAUUAGAAUGUGUAGUGUAGCGGUGAAAUGCAUAGAUAUUACACAGAAUACCAAUUGCGAAGGCAGGUCACUAACACUAUAUUGACGCUKAGGGACGAAAGCGUGGGGAGCGAACAGGAUUAGAUACCCUGGUAGUCCACGCCGUAAACGAUGGAUACUAGCUGUUCGGACUUCGGUCUGAGUGGCUAAGCGAAAGUGAUAAGUAUCCCACCUGGGGAGUACGUUCGCAAGAAUGAAACUCAAAGGAAUUGACGGGG
rnacentral:rRNA from 1 species